UUUAAUGAGAGUUUGAUCCUGGCUCAGGACGAACGCUGGCGGCGUGCCUAAUACAUGCAAGUAGAACGCUGAAGAGAGGAGCUUGCUCUUCUUGGAUGAGUUGCGAACGGGUGAGUAACGCGUAGGUAACCUGCCUGGUAGCGGGGGAUAACUAUUGGAAACGAUAGCUAAUACCGCAUAAAAUUGAUUAUUGCAUGAUAAUUAAUUGAAAGAUGCAAUUGCAUCACUACCAGAUGGACCUGCGUUGUAUUAGCUAGUUGGUGAGGUAACGGCUCACCAAGGCGACGAUACAUAGCCGACCUGAGAGGGUGAUCGGCCACACUGGGAC
rnacentral:rRNA from 1 species